GACGAACGCUGGCGGCGUGCUUAACACAUGCAAGUCGAACGAAGUGGCGAACGGGUGAGUAACGCGUAAUCAACCUGCCCGUCAGAGGGGGAUAACAGUUGGAAACGACUGCUAAUACCGCAUACUGAAGGAGGGGAUUGCGUCUGAUUAGCUAGUUGGAGGGGUAACGGCCCACUAAGGCGAUGAUCAGUAGCCGGGCUGGAAGGAGGAACGGCCAAAUUGGGAAUGGGACACGGCCCAGAACCCUACGGGGUGACGCAGUGGGGGAUCAUCCGCAAUGGACGGAAGUCUGACGGCGCAACGCCGCGUGGGUGAUGGCGGCCUUCGGGUUGUAAAGCUCUGUUAAGCGGGACGCGGUACCGGAAUAGAAAGCCACGGCUAACUACGUGCCAGCAGCCGCGGUAAUUC
rnacentral:rRNA from 1 species